GGGCCCGCACAAGCGGUGGAGCAUGUGGUUUAAUUCGAUGAUACGCGAGGAACCUUACCAGGGCUUAAAUGUAGUGGGACAGGUCUAGAGAUAGACCCUUCUUCGGACUCAUUACAAGGUGCUGCAUGGUUGUCGUCAGCUCGUGCCGUGAGGUGUCAGGUUAAGUCCUAUAACGAGCGCAACCCCUAUCGUUAGUUGCCAGCGAGUAAUGUCGGGAACUCUAACGAAACUGCCAGUGCAAACUGUGAGGAAGGUGGGGACGACGUCAAGUCAUCAUGGCCUUUAUGCCCAGGGCUGCACACGUGCUACAAUGGGACGUACAAAGGGAAGCGAACCCGCGAGGGCAAGCAAAUCUCAAAAAGCGUCUCUCAGUUCGGAUUGCAGGCUGCAACUCGCCUGCAUGAAGCUGGAAUCGCUAGUAA
rnacentral:rRNA from 1 species